rnacentral:rRNA from 1 species
AGUGAACGCUGGCGGUAGGCCUAACACAUGCAAGUCGAACGGCAGCACAGUAAGAGCUUGCUGUUACGGGUUGCGAGUGGCGGACGGGUGAGGAAUACAUCGUAAUCUACUUUUUCGUGUGGCAUCACGUAGCGAAACUUACUCUAAUACCGCAUACGACCUUCGGUUGAAAGCAGGGGAUCUUCGCACCUUGCGCGAUUGAAUGCGCCGAUGUCGGACUAGCUAGUUGGCGGGGUGACGGCCCACCAAGUCGACGAUCCGUAGCUGGUCUGAGAGGAUGGUCAGCCACACUGGAACUGAGACACGGUCCAGACUACUAAGGGAGGGAGCAGUGGGGAAUAUUGGGCAAUGGGCGGAAGCAUGAUCCAGCCAGACCGAGUGGGUGAAGAAGGCCUUCGGGUUGGAAAGACCUUUUGUUGGGAAAGAACAGCAGCAGGUUGAGACCCAGCUGUACUGACGGUAAUGAAAGAAUAAGCACCGGCUAACUACGUG